AAGAGAGAGUGCAGAAGAAGGGAAAGAAGAAGGGCAUGUUAAGGUAAAGCAAAAUGUGUAGCGCUCCUGUUCUAGAAGUGGAUGUGGACAAGAAACCUGGAGUGAGUGAGCAAGUGAAAAGUGAGUGCGUGACUGAAAGCCCAUCACCAACAAAGAAGAGGACACCAGGAAGGAGUUCAGAUUGACUGGGAAUGUCAGACUACAUGAAUCCAGAGUUUGGGGUUUUAUUUCUGCAUCUUUCCAAGUUGCAAUUUGUAAAACAUAAGUUGGUACCAGGAGUGGGGACUAUCAAUACAAAACCCUAAAAUCCAUGCGUGGCAGCAGAGUAGAAAUUCAAGCUAGAGCUACCUGAUCUUCAAGACAUUACGGAAGUGGUAAGGGACAUGCUCUCUGCCUUUGGCCUGCCAUCUAAAUGGACCAGCAGUGUUUUGGGAACUUAAAGGUAAAAAAGACAAAU